ACAAAGUUGAGCAGGCCAGACAGCGUUACCUGCUCAGAAUAUCCAAAUUCUCAUCAGUACAUGUGAGGAAGUCAUGGAAUCAAGAAGAGAUGAGAUUUGUGCACUUGAUGUAUUCUGAAUUCAAAUUCAAUGGUGCAGUCAAUAUCUUCGACAACAAGAAUGGAUCGGUUGCUCAUACCAACAAGAAGCCUCCUAAGGUCUGAGUUGGAAUUGACCUCAGUUAGCUCGAGGUCAUAUAUGUCAAACCUGAGAAGGUUGGCCAUGGCCGCAAUCAGGCUGGACUUGCCGGUCCCAGGUGGACCAUACAGCAGGUCGGCGUUGAUGCGUGUCGCGAGGUAGCCGAAGCCGGAGAAGAGCAUCUCGCGCAGCUCGUACGGCACCACGUCGUUCACCACGCUGCGCACCAGCAUCACAGAUGCCGCGACGGACGCCGCGGUGGUGAGGGCCUUCUUGUAGGACUCGAAGGCCUUGUCGUAGGACGCCAUGGAGUGGUGUCCGCGGCAAGGAACUGGAAGUAGUGGAAGAAGGAAGCUUCUGCCGGCAACGCCGCGGCGUCCCAGGGUCAUCUCUCCCAGGUCCAGAUCAGGUCUCUGUUUAUUCCCACCUCCACCCACGGACGGCCCGCGGUGGCUGAAACGGCAUGUGCUGGAUCGCGUUCCGUGCAGACGAAGACCGGGCGACGUGCAUCACCAACCCAGAUCAGAACAGCGUCAGAUUGGAAGCAGCCUGCGACGACGAGACACAGGCUGGAAAGCGGCCAGAUGCAUGAAUGCAUCUCUUUCUUUUUGUUUUGUCUGUCGGGGUGUCGUUAGUGACCUCAAAAUUCCAAAAAAAGAAGAUUUCCUAUUACGUCAAAUUUACAGUAAGUACUGAAUAUAGACGAAAUUAAAAACUAAUUGUACAGUUUGGUUGUACUU